rnacentral:rRNA from 1 species
AUCAUUAACUAAUGUAUUGGCACUUUACUGGGAUUUACUUCUCAGUAUUGUUUGCUUCUAUACUGUGAACCUCUGGCGAUGAAGGUCGUAACUGACCUUCGGGAGAGACUCAGGACAUAUAGGCUAUAAUGGGUAGGCCUGUUCUGGGGUUUGAUCGAUGCCAAUCAGGAUUACCUUUCUUCCUUUGGGAAGGAAGGCGCCUGGUACCCUUUACCAUAUACCAUGAAUUCAGAAUUGAAAGUAUAAUAUAAUAACAACUUUUAACAAUGGAUCUCUNGGUUCUCGCAUCGAUGAAGAACGUAGCAAAGUGCGAUAACUAGUGUGAAUUGCAUAUUCGUGAAUCAUCGAGUCUUUGAACGCAGCUUGCACUCUAUGGAUCUUCUAUAGAGUACGCUUGCUUCAGUAUCAUAACCAACCCACACAUAAAAUUUAUUUUAUGUGGUGAUGGACAAAUUCGGUUAGAUUUAAUUAUUAUACCGAUUGUCUAAAAUACAGCCUCUUUGUAAUUUUCAUUAAAUUACGAACUACCUAGCCAUCGUGCUUUUUUGGUCCAACCAAAAAACAUUUAAUCUAGGGGUUCUGCCAGCCAGCAGAUAUUUUAAUGCUCUUUAACUAUGAUCUGAAGUCAAGUGGGACUACCCGCUGAACUUAAGCAUAUCAAUAAGCGGAGGAAAAGAAAAUAACAAUGAUUUCCCUAGUAACGGCGAGUGAACAGGAAAAAGCUCAAAGUUGGAACCUGUU